rnacentral:rRNA from 1 species
AGAGUUUGAUCCUGGCUCAGAGCGAACGCUGGCGGCGUGCUUAACACAUGCAAGUCGAACGCGCAGUUCGGUGUAGCAAUACAUCGGGCGGGCGCGUGGCGAACGGGUGCGUAACACGUGGAUAACCUUCCUUCAGGUGGGGAAUAACUCGUCGAAAGGCGAGCUAAUACCGCAUAACAUUGCGAGGACACAUGUUCUUGCAAUCAAACCCGCAACGGGCCAGUAGAGGGAUCCGCGGCCGAUUAGCUAGUUGGCGAGGUAACGGCUCACCAAGGCAAAGAUCGGUAGCCGGUCUGAGAGGAUGAUCGGCCACACUGGAACUGAGACACGGUCCAGACUCCUACGGGAGGCAGCAGUGGGGAAUCUUGCGCAAUGGGCGAAAGCCUGACGCAGCAACGCCGCGUGGGGGAUGAAGCUUCUCGGAGUGUAAACCCCUUUCGACCCGGACGAAGGCCCGCAAGGGCUUGACGGUACGGGUAUAAGAAGCCCCGGCUAACUAC